rnacentral:rRNA from 1 species
AUUGAACGCUGGCGGCAGGCCUAACACAUGCAAGUCGAGCGGAUGAAGGGAGCUUGCUGCUGGAUUCAGCGGCGGACGGGUGAGUAAUGCCUAGGAAUCUGCCUGGUAGAGGGGGAUAACGUCCGGAAACGGGCGCUAAUACCGCAUACGUCCUGAGGGAGAAAGUGGGGGAUCUUCGGACCUCACGCUAUCAGAUGAGCCUAGGUCGGAUUAGCUAGUUGGUGGGGUAAAGGCCUACCAAGGCGACGAUCCGUAACUGGUCUGAGAGGAUGAUCAGUCACACUGGAACUGAGACACGGUCCAGACUCCUACGGGAGGCAGCAGUGGGGAAUAUUGGACAAUGGGCGAAAGCCUGAUCCAGCCAUGCCGCGUGUGUGAAGAAGGUCUUCGGAUUGUAAAGCACUUUAAGUUGGGAGGAAGGGCAGUAAGUUAAUACCUUGCUGUUUUGACGUUACCAACAGAAUAAGCACCGGCUAACUUCGUG